UGCGGGGCUUACACAUGCAGUCGAACGGUGAAGGUGGGAGCUUGCUCCCACCUGAUCAGUGGCGAACGGGUGAGUAACACGUGAGUAACCUGCCCCAGACUCUGGAAUAACCCCGGGAAACCGGAGCUAAUACCGGAUACGAGACGAAGCUGCAUGGCUAUCGUCUGGAAAGUUUUUCGGUCUGGGAUGGACUCGCGGCCUAUCAGCUUGUUGGUGAGGUAAUGGCUCACCAAGGCGACGACGGGUAGCCGGCCUGAGAGGGCGACCGGCCACACUGGGACUGAGACACGGCCCAGACUCCUACGGGAGGCAGCAGUGGGGAAUAUUGCACAAUGGGCGAAAGCCUGAUGCAGCGACGCCGCGUGAGGGAUGACGGCCUUCGGGUUGUAAACCUCUUUCAGCAGGGAAGAAGCGAAAGUGACGGUACCUGCAGAAGAAGCACCGGCUAACUACGUGCCAGCAGCCGCGGUAAUACGUAGGGUGCGAGCGUUGUCCGGAAUUAUUGGGCGUAAAGAGCUUGUAGGCGGUUUGUCGCGUCUGCUGUGAAAUUUCGGGGCUCAACCCCGAACUUGCAGUGGGUACGGGCAGACUAGAGUGUGGUAGGGGAGACUGGAAUUCCUGGUGUAGCGGUGAAAUGCGCAGAUAUCAGGAGGAACACCGAUGGCGAAGGCAGGUCUCUGGGCCACUACUGACGCUGAGAAGCGAAAGCAUGGGGAGCGAACAGGAUUAGAUACCCUGGUAGUCCAUGCCGUANACGUUGGGAACUAGGUGUGGGUCUCAUUCCACGAGAUCCGUGCCGCAGCUAACGCAUUAAGUUCCCCGCCUGGGGAGUACGGCCGCAAGGCUAA
rnacentral:rRNA from 1 species